GCCUCCUUAGCUCAGACGGUAGAGCGUCUCACUCGUAAUGAGAAGGUCAGCAGUUCGAUCCUGCUAGGAGGCUCCA
rnacentral:tRNA from 4 species